AAAUUGAUGAAAAUAAUUGGUCCGUGUUUAUGAUUUUAUUUGAUUAGUUUUUUUUUCCAAUUUUCUGAUGAAC